AUUGAACGCUGGCGGCAUGCCUUACACAUGCAAGUCGAACGGUAACAGGUCUUCGGAUGCUGACGAGUGGCGGACGGGUGAGUAAUACAUCGGAACGUGCCUAGUAGUGGGGGAUAACUACUCGAAAGAGUGGCUAAUACCGCAUGAGAUCUACGGAUGAAAGCAGGGGAUCGCAAGACCUUGUGCUACUAGAGCGGCCGAUGGCAGAUUAGGUAGUUGGUGGGAUAAAAGCUUACCAAGCCGACGAUCUGUAGCUGGUCUGAGAGGACGAUCAGCCACACUGGGACUGAGACACGGCCCAGACUCCGACGGGAGGCAGCAGUGGGGAAUUUUGGACAAUGGGCGCAAGCCUGAUCCAGCAAUGCCGCGUGCAGGAUGAAGGCCUUCGGGUUGUAAACUGCUUUUGUACGGAACGGAAAGCCCUGGGUUAAUACCCUGGGGUCAUGACGGUACCGUAAGAAUAAGCACCGGCUAACUACGUGCCAGCAGCCGCCGUAAGAC
rnacentral:rRNA from 1 species